GGUAAAUUAAUCUCUCGCCUGGUUGAACACAGCUUUAGAGAAGUCAACAGCCUCCUAUGAGUCUAGAGUCAGGUGUUACAGGCUCAACUGGUUUAACAGCUGCAAAUUUUGAGAGACUGCUGUGCUAGUGUUUGGGGCUCAGAUUUAAGGUAUAGGUAGGAUUUACGUACUUUAAGCAGCCAAGCCUUCUUCAGAAGAAACCUGAGCGGCAUGUGCUCCUCCCCACCUGCUUCCCCGCAACAGGAAGAACCCUCUGCAGAAGGUCUCUUCACCUUGUUGAGGCCUGGGAAUGUGCAGAUGUGCAGGAUUUUCCACACUAUUCGAGAGAGAGAGUAAAUAAACUUGUGUAAGUAAGUUGCAUCAACUACAAAUAAGACCUGUAUGCCCUGUGUAUUUCCUUAUUUGUGACAAAAUUGCAGCCGAAAUAAUCACCCUGCCCAAUCACAGUCACAACCUUCAGACUGCUGGCAACACUAAUCUGAGAUUUUAUAACCCCAAGACCACUGUCAGUAACAGGCUCAGUAGCAGAGAAAGCAAAAAUAAGUACCACUUCCAAGAAGAAAAAUGUAGACAAAUGCAUUGUGUUCCCCAUGGGGCACAGAGGAGAUACUAAACAAGAGGAGAUGGGGGCAGAUGACAAAGUGCUUUGCAGGUGUUGUGAAGGAGAGGUCAUGGGAAGCCAGGAGAUUCUUGUCCCAUAGAUGAGCAGUAGGAAACCAGCAGAGGCUUUUGAGAGCAGCAGAUUGCCUGAUUCUUGAGCUCAUUAAUGAGUCUCUUCUAAGCUACUUGAGGAAUAUGAAGAAUAAUGAAAGAUAAUUGCUUCGUUGAAAUGUUGCAACAUGUAUAACGUAAGAGAAAGGCUUCUAAGUGGUCUGC